rnacentral:misc_RNA from 1 species
GAUGAAGAACGCAGCGAAAUGAGAUAAGUAAUGCGAAUUGCAGAAUUUCCGUGAGUCAUCGAAUCUUUGAACGCACAUUGCGCCCACUGGUAUUCCGGUGGGCAUGCCUGUUCGAGCGUCAUUAUCCUCCCUCAAACCCCGGGUUUGGUGUUGGACCCAAGUUGUGUGAACAACUGGUCUUAAAGACAAUGACGGCGUCCGUGGGACCCUCGGUGCAACGAGCUUUUAGGAGCACGCAUCGAGUUGCAAGGACCUUCCGGGCCGGUCUCCUUUACUAUUUUACAAGGUUGACCUCGGAUCAGGUAGGAAUACCCGCUGAACUUAAGCAUAUCAAUAAGCGGAGGA